CCUCCUUUUCUUGGCAUCUCUGAACUCUCUUAUCAUGUUUAUGAGAUGAAUGCAACCAGGAGGAAGAUAAAUAUGAUGAACCUUCGGUGUCAGGGUUCUUAUGCCCUGGUCCCAUCCUCUAGCAUCAUUACAGGG
rnacentral:snoRNA from 1 species